AUACGUAGGUGACAAGCGUUAUCCGGAUUUACUGGGCGUAAAGGGCGUGUAGGCGGUCUUGCAAGUCAGAAGUGAAAUUCCUGAGCUCAACUCGGGCGCUGCUUCUGAAACUGCAGGACUUGAGUGCUGGAGGGGAUAGCGGAAUUCCUAGUGGAGCGGUAAAAUGCGCAGAUAUUAGGAAGAACACCGGUGGCGAAGGCGGCUAUCUGGACAGUAACGGACGUUGAGGCGCGAAAGCGUGGGGAGCAAACAGGAUUAGAUACCCUGGUGGUCCACGCCGUAAACGAUGAAUACUAGGUGUAGGGGGUAUCGACUCCCUCUGUGCCGCAGUUAACACAAUAAGUAUUCCGCCUGGGGAGUACGGCCGCAAGGUUGAAACUCAAAUGAAUUGACGGGG
rnacentral:rRNA from 1 species